rnacentral:rRNA from 1 species
AUACGGAGGAUCCGAGCGUUAUCCGGAUUUAUUGGGUUUAAAGGGAGCGUAGGCGGAGGAUCAAGUCAGCUGUGAAAUGUAGACGCUCAACGUCUGCACUGCAGUUGAAACUGGUCCCCUUGAGUGCGUAAGGGGCAGGCGGAAUUCGUCGUGUAGCGGUGAAAUGCUUAGAUAUGACGAAGAACUCCGAUCGCGAAGGCGGUUUGCCGGGCCGCAACUGACGCUGAAGCUCGAAGGUGCGGGUAUCGAACAGGAUUAGAUACCCUGGUAGUCCGCACAGUAAACGAUGGAUACUCGCUGUCGGCGAUAUACGGUCGGUGGCCAAGCGAAAGCGUUAAGUAUCCCACCUGGGGAGUACGCCGGCAACGGUGAAACUCAAAGGAAUUGACGGGG